AGUUGUGAGGGCGAUCUGGCUGCGACAUCUGUCACCCCGUUGAUUGCCAGGGUUGAUUCGACUGAUCUGGCUGGCUAGGCAGGUGCCCCCUUCCUCCCUCACCGCUCCAUGUGCAUGCACCCUGCACCCCUGCCCCAAAGCUGCAUGCUCAGUCAAAGGUGACAGCCUUCCCUGAUAGAGGAGGACUGUUCUUCGGUCAAGGGUGUAUGAGUAGCUGAGCUCCCCUGCUAGAACCUUCAAACAAGCUCUCAAGGUCCAUUUGUAGGAAAACGUCAUGUGGUCAAGCUUCCAAGACUCCAGAUGCAUCCAAUGAGACGCUGCCUGUGGCAGCCUGCCUUUCUUU
ensembl:misc_RNA 7SK 7SK RNA